UACAGAGGGGGCAAGCGUUGUUCGGAAUUACUGGGCGUAAAGGGCGCGUAGGCGGCCUUCUAAGUCGAACGUGAAAUCCCUGGGCUCAACCCAGGAACUGCGUCCGAUACUGGAAGGCUUGAAUCCGGGAGAGGGAUGCGGAAUUCCAGGUGUAGCGGUGAAAUGCGUAGAUAUCUGGAGGAACAUCAGUGGCGAAAGCGGCUUCCUGGACCAGCACCGACGUUCAGGCACGAAAGCGUGGGGAGCAAACAGG
rnacentral:rRNA from 1 species